UACGUAGGGCGCAAGCGUUGUCCGGAAUUAUUGGGCGUAAAGAGCUCGUAGGCGGCCAGUUGCGUCCGCUGUGAAAUCCCGGGGCUUAACCCCGGGCGUGCAGUGGAUACGGGCUGGCUAGAGGCAGGCAGGGGAGAACGGAAUUCCCGGUGUAGCGGUGAAAUGCGCAGAUAUCGGGAGGAACACCAGUGGCGAAGGCGGCGAUCUGGGUCGAUACUGACGCUGAGGUGCGAAAGCGUGGGGAGCAAACAGG
rnacentral:rRNA from 1 species